rnacentral:rRNA from 1 species
GACGAACGCUGGCGGCGUGCUUAACACAUGCAAGUCGAGCGGAAAGACCCUGCUUUUGUGGGGUGCUCGAGUGGCGAACGGGUGAGUAACACGUGAGUAACCUGCCCUUGACUUUGGGAUAACUUCAGGAAACUGGGGCUAAUACCGGAUCGGAGCUCCUGCUGCAUGGUGGGGGUUGGAAAGUUUCGGCGGUUGGGGAUGGACUCGCGGCUUAUCAGCUUGUUGGUGGGGUAGUGGCUUACCAAGGCUUUGACGGGUAGCCGGCCUGAGAGGGUGACCGGCCACAUUGGGACUGAGAUACGGCCCAGACUCCUACGGGAGGCAGCAGUGGGGAAUAUUGCACAAUGGGCGGAAGCCUGAUGCAGCAACGCCGCGUGCGGGAUGACGGCCUUCGGGUUGUAAACCGCUUUCGCCUGUGACGAAGCGUGAGUGACGGUAAUGGGUAAAGAAGCACCGGCUAACUACGUG